CGAUGGCGGAAUUAAUUAAUUACCGUAGCACUUUAUCGUGUAAUUGUUGAGAUUUGACUUCGGGCAUCGUCGGUUUUGAAUCCCACUCUGGAUGUUUAAAUAUUUUCCCGCUUUUCACUGCGCAUGCGCAGUUUAUCAAGGUACGGUAGUGGGUGCGAUUUCCGAGGUCCAUUCUCUUACGGUGGGACCACAACACCAAGCCUUCGUCGCUUCAUGAGCAUUGCCACCGUUGCCUGUGCAGCACUGCUCCUGCUCCCGAUUCCGCAAUUCCGCAUUCGACCACAAGUCACCAACCAUUUCAGAUGUGCUUUGGAAAUAAAUUUUGACAUAAUAAAUAAAUUUAAAAAAAAAUAUCGCCAUUUUGAAUUGAUAGCACGAUCUGUUGGUCGGGAAUUUGUACAACAGUACUAUACAUUGUUGAAUCAAGCACCAGCUCAAUAAAACAGAACACUAAUGGAGAAUUUCAAAAUGGCGGUGCGUCGUCAACCUGUUCGUCAAUUUACUCAGAAGAAUAAGAAGAAGAAAAAAAAAAAAUUUUGUUUGGUAUUCUAUCCUGUAAAGGCGAAGCUGGAUUAUCCCGCGUUCCGGACUCUGAACUGUGAAUCAAAAGAAAAAAAAAAUUUUUUUCUUUGGUAUUCUCAGUAGAGUUUACCUACAGUUUCAACCCAUGUAACACAAAUAUUACUACGGGUAUCAAUCGAAGGCAUUAGUUAUCAUACAAAAUGUUCUAACCCCCUAGACUGAUAUACUCAAACCGUAGUAAUAUUUUUGGGUUGGAUUAUAAUAUAGGUCCAGCAAUGUCCUAGAGAUGAAUUGCUGGACACGGAAGUGGGGUCACACCUGCGUAGCCAAACUGUCAAACAGUCCUCAGUAGAGGCGCUGUUUUUCAGUGUUGAAAUGAGGAACUCCUUUUUAUUAUUAUUUCCUUUUUAUUAUUAUUUCCUUUUUAUUAUUAACUUUCCUUUUUAUUAUUAUUUCCUUUUUAUUAUUAACUUUCUAUUUACAUAAAUACAAUGACAACUAAAUUUUUAGUACUAUAAUACUUCUAAUUAAAAAAAUUAUAAAUAUAAUCAAAAAGAAAUGUUGACUUGCAGUCAUAUUUGUCCAAUUAUCAG